UGCUAAUACCGCAUACGAUCUACGGAUGAAAGCAGGGGGCCCAAGCCUUGCGCGAACGGAGCGCCGAUGGCAGAUUAGGUAGUUGGUGGGAUAAAAGCUUACCAAUCCGACGAUCUGUGCUGGUCUGAGAGGACGACCAUCCACACUGGGACUGAGACACGGCCCAACUCUACGGGAGGCAGCAGUGGGGAAUUUUGGACAAUGGGCGAAAGCCUGAUCCACCAUGCCGCGUGCAGGAUGAAGGCUCGGGUUGUAAACUGCUUUUGUACGGAACGAAAAGACUCUGGUUAAUACCUGGGUGCCAU
rnacentral:rRNA from 1 species